CCAGGACCUCUACACCAGGCGGUGUCAGAGGAAGGCCCUGAAAAUUGUCAAAGACCCCAGCCACCCCAGUCAUAGACUGUUCUCUCUACUACCGCAUGGCAAGCGGUACCGGAGUGCCAAGUCUAGGACAAAAAGGCUUCUCAACAGUUUUUACCCCCAAGCCAUAAGACUCCUGAACAGGAGUGCUGAGUUUGGUCUCGUGUGGGCCGGUCAGAGAAUACGACAACGACGACACCGCAGUCGAGCCACAAUCCCAAUCCUCCGAGCCCACUCGGCAGCAUACAUCAAAGUCCUGUUUCAUUUAAACCCUAUUUCAUGCAUUCAUUUCAUGGUGGUGCUCUUGUCAAAGCGCGGGUUUCGGGGAUGAACGUAACCCAGGUUUAUAAGGCUUAGAGGAAUUUGAGCACCACACAACCAGCUGUGUGUGUCUGUGUGUGUGCAUGCCGUGCAGGAUGUUAGGCAUUAAUAUGUGUAUUUGUGUUCAUAUGGUUAUAUGAGUAUAUCAAUGAAGUUGUGAC
rnacentral:lncRNA from 1 species